rnacentral:misc_RNA from 1 species
GCCCUUUAUUCGAAUGGUGGUUUCAGCUUCCUUCCCCAUACCAUAGAAAAAGGGUUUUCCGGCCCUCUAGGUCGAGGAGCGGAUAAGGUAUUUCUCCAUUUGAUGCUGGAGGAGUGCGUGCGAGACUUCCGGAUGCGGAAAUCCCGCGAUAGCUGCUUCUUUCAUUUCUUGUAUAGAGCAUUUUUGUACCCAUUUUUAUUCGUAGUAGGUGCCUUCAUGGGUCGGGCCAGAGUGUCGUUGAUAAGCUCUAACGCUGGAGCGAUGGUAUGAGUCGGACUGCAGGCGCGGGUUGGACCGUGGGGGCGUAGACUAGUUUGCAGGCAUGGGCCGAACCGCGUGCAUGGACUGGAUCAUGGACGCGAGUCAGGAAUGCUCUUUUUUCUUUAUCUGCCGCGACCGCAUACGAGGGCACAUUGUCCCACUAAAAUCUCCCAUCUAAUUUUUCUUGUUAUUUUCCCGAUCGUCGAAUGCGAGAUCGGAAGGCGUAGCAAUUUGAAUCACGCCGCAUCGCAAAAAAGUAAACUCUCGGGCAGCGGUUGUUGUAGUCUCGGGUUUCUUGUAGCUUUGGGGAUUGGUAAAUUACUUUCUUCCUGCAAUAACGGCAGAACCAUUGAUCAUCUUCAUCUUCGGGCUGCACUUGGUAGUCAGACUUCGGUAAUUUCAGCAUAUCAUUGCCUAUAUCCUAUAUAAAUAUAAAGGGCUCGUUUGACUUUGAGCUCUUCUUGAUGUCAAAGUGCAAAUCCUUUCGAUGACCUUCUUUCUUCCCUUUGUCUUUGCUACCUUUAGGAGGUCUC